rfam:Triticum aestivum genome assembly, contig: Triticum_aestivum_CS42_TGACv1_scaffold_557429_7AL
CUACUACUCCCUCCGUUCCAUAUUAGUUGUCGCUGAAACGGAUGUAUCUAUGUCUAGAUACAUCCGUUUCAGCGACAACUAAUAUGGAACGGAGGGAGUAAAAU